rnacentral:rRNA from 1 species
UACGAAGGGGGCGAGCGUUGUUCGGAUUUACUGGGCGUAAAGGGCGCGUAGGCGGCCCUCCUAGUCGCGUGUGAAAGCCCCGGGCUCAACCUGGGGAAUUGCGCGCGAAACGGGGGGGGCUUGAGUUCGGGGAGAGGAGCGUGGAAUUCCCAGUGUAGAGGUGAAAUUCGUAGAUAUUGGGAAGAACACCGGGUGGGCGAAAGGCGGCGCUCGUGGG